GCGUCGACCCGAGCAGUUGCGAGAGCGAAUGAAGCUGCGGUUGCACAGACAAGCUUGUGGAGGUGUCAGUAUGCACGCAUGCGUCCCUGAUUUGGAGCACGCCUCUGGCCUGGUAGGAUUCUCGCUCUGCCCCGACCUCAAGGGUGUUCGUCUAUCUGUGUCGUGCUCGGGACGAUGCACUAAUGCAGGGAGAGAGUACGAUUUUUUAACACAAUCUGCAGUACCCGUGAGCCUGCCCAUAGAUUGUCUGCUAUAUUACCAAGUGCGCUGAAGGAAAAGCUGCUGCCACUGUUGAUGACCACUCUAGGUGAUAUAAUUCAUGUUUGCUUUGUUGUUUCAGUAACUUCCUGUAGCAUAUUGGUUCCAUCUUUUUUUUGCAUCAUGGUACAUUAUUCUCAUCUUGAUAUAUAUAAUUUGGUCAACUGAAGAUUUGAGUGCAGGGUAGAAUUCUUGGUUGAUUUUAGAAUUUCGUUGUUGAUUACUUGGCCAACAGACUUUUAUGAAAUUCAAGGCGUCAUUUAGUGUACUAUAUGUCAUAUUUGUCUUAUUUCUAUACUCACAAUAUUUCGGCAUCGUCUAAACAAAUGAUGCUAAAUUGAUAUAAUCAUUUUGGAUCAGUGUCAUCUUCUCAAUGCUGAACAGCCAAAAUAUAUACAUAGUGAGCAGUUCACCGCACAUGCUCAUACGUCAUAUUUAUGUACUGUUUAACAUGGCAAAAAUUGGUCAAAUAUUUAAAUAUUUCUACUG